rnacentral:lncRNA from 1 species
GCCUCAUUACAUUUAUUGGCAUCUGGCACUGUUCACAAGUGGUCGAUCAGAGACAGUAGAGAGAACUCUUUAGUCACAGGGGCCUGAGAAAGCUUCAUUAAGAUUUAUGUGCCCAAGUACAUAAACUUCUGUUUAAUUUCUUGCCAAGUUUAGUUCUUCCUUACAACGUGGGGAAUUGCAGUCAUCAAAUCAAAUUAUCAAGUGCUGAAACAAUUUCAUUCAUAACACUCGAUGAACCCUUAAUAAAAAGGAGGAAUCACAGGUACAGACAAAUGAAAAGGAAGUGGUGAUUCUAAUGGAGAGACAGGUAAGGCAUGACAAAUAAGAUGGUGGAAGGAGUAAGAAAUAGGAAAAGAAAAAAAAAAAAGCCAGAAAAAUAAAGGAAGACUCAAAAUGAGUAAGAUCUAAGGA